rnacentral:rRNA from 1 species
GUCCACGCUGUAAACGAUGAGAACUGGACGUUGGGAGGCUUGUCCUCUUAGUGUCGAAGCUAACGCGCUAAGUUCUCCGCCUGGGGAGUACGGCCGCAAGGUUAAAACUCAAAGGAAUUGACGGGGGCCCGCACAAGCGGUGGAGCAUGUGGUUUAAUUCGAUGCAACGCGAAAACCUUACCUACCCUUGACAUCCUCGGAAUCUUUCAGAGAUGAAGGAGUGCCUUUGGGAACCGAGAGACAGGUGAUGCAUGGCUGUCGU